rnacentral:lncRNA from 1 species
UAGCUAACCAUGAAAUGAAGCAUAGCUGUUGACCAAAGCCAAGGCAUUACUAGUCAAAUGAGCGAUUGUGACAAUCUUGGAUCUCACAGCAGUCUUUACACUGCCGUUCAUGUUUUUCCCUCCAAACCCGUCGGCGCAGGUGUUCUCAUCCGUCAAAGCAGCGCUAACCCAUGUCUGUAUAUCGUUAAUCAUUAGUCCAAAAUUGGAGCCUUUAAGCUGACCCAUCUCGCUGAUUGACUUUCUCAGCUCAUCUAUCGUGUCCUCCAAUUCCUCCACGCAAUCUUGCAUGGCGCCCACCUCUGUAGGCUUCAAUCCUUGGCUUUUGGCAAGCUUCACCAUCAAGGCCGAGGUUGACUUGGCGGUUGAAAGGGUCACGUUUAGGGCGGCAUGGGCGAUGAGUUGGGGGCUUGUUUGGAUCAUGCUAGCCUGUGUUAAGAGAGAUUCGUAACAAAGUUUAGGGUAAGUCGUUGAACUACAAGAUGUUCUGAUAAACUCAAUGCUAGUUUUAGGGGCAAUUUGCCUACCA